GGCUCCAUAGUGUAGUGGUUAGCGUGUCAGCUUUACACGCAGAAGAUUCUGGGUUCGUGUCCCAGGUGGAGCCA
rnacentral:tRNA from 1 species